UUAGAAAAACGGGGCUUGAACCCGCACUAAAAGCCCCAAAAUCUUUUGUACUUCAAUAUACUAUUUUCUA
rnacentral:tRNA from 1 species